UCGCUAUAGGGGUAGGGUUAAGCCAUGGGAGUCGUACGCUCUCGGGAAGAGGGCGUGGCGGACGGCUGAGUAACACGUGGCUAACCUAACCUUGGGUCUCGGAUAACCCCGGGAAACUGGGGCUAAUCCGGGGCAGAUAAGGAGAUCUGGAACGACUCCUUAUCCAAAGGCCUCUCGGCUGAUCCCGUCGAGAGGUGCCCAAGGAUGGGGCUGCGGCCCAUCAGGCUGUUGGGGGAGUAAAGGUCCCCCAAACCUAUAACGGGUAGGGGCCGUGGGAGCGGGAGCCCCCAGUUGGGCACUGAGACAAGGGCCCAGGCCCUACGGGGCGCACCAGGCGCGGAACGUCCCCAAUGCGGGAAACCGUGAGGGCAUUACCCCUAGUGCCCUCGCAAGAGGGCUUUUCUCCACUCCAGAAAGGUGGAGGAAUAAGCGGGGGGCAAGACUGGUGUCAGCCGCCGCGGUAAAACCAGC
rnacentral:rRNA from 1 species